AAGAGAAGGUAUGAAGGAAAUAAAAAUUCCCUCAUCCUGGGAAGGAGACUUGAACUUACUUCAGACAAGUCAGUUUUCCUUACCCCAACCUAGAAUGUGAAUUAAACACUUGACCAGAAAGGAAGUCUCUCGUGUAUUAUACAAUAAAGAUAAAGAUCAGGCUUGAGUUCCUUCACCAAACUCUGCCUGGCUCAUAUUUUGGGGCCAAAGGUAAAGCGAUAAGGGAAAAAUUGUGAUGUUCUCAAUUUAAUUAUGAAAGUCAAGGGCUGGAAUGAAAAAGAAGUAAAAGAAAUUAGUGACGGCAGAGAACCAUCAAAAAAGAUUCUUCACGGUUUGGGACCUUUCCAUCCCUUCACAGUGAGUCCUUGGAUGUUACUUCCUUGAGUUCUCAAGGUACCUGCAAGAAAAAUGAUAUGUCCAAGCCCUCCACAGAUGCUCAGCCCUCAGGGGUACUCUCAGGCCUUUUCUUACCCAAAACACCAUGUAAGUCAGCCUUUCCCUCUUCCCCGACCUCUCUGAAUGGCAAGACUCCCUGUGAGCGUGAAGGAGCACAGAUUACUGUCCUGUUCCUGUCCCUGGCUGAGUGUGAAGCACUGGAACGCCACCUCCUAAAGAAACAACUCAGCAAGCUUCAGUGGGGCCUGCCAGCUCUCCUCCUCCAAAACCAGCGCUGAAUGCUGUGUGAAGCACCCAGUGAGGCUAAGACAGUAAAAACUUCCUUGGCAAGGAAGCCCUUUUUACAUCCCACCAGGGACAUCUUCCCAGAGCACGCAGGAAGGCUGCUGGAAUUCCACCUGCAGAAGCAGCUGAUUCACCUCCGCUGGGGGCUGCCCCAGAGGAUCCAGCGCUCCAUGAAUAUGCUGCUCUCCUCAACAGACCCACAGUCCCUGCCCUGUGGCAGCAGUAGCUUACCCAAUGUGAGCAUCUCACAGCCCGGGAAACCAGAGGCCAAUGGGCCUGGUGACAUGUUCUCACUCACAGCGGGCAAAGGGACAAUCCCCAUGCCACACUUGUUUGCCAAGACAAGGGAAAUGUUGAAAAGCCAUGUUGAUUCCAAAUGUGAACAGAUCCGGGAGGGCGAGGUCCCGGCCCAAGUCUGGAAAUCUUGGGAAUGCAAAAUUCCUGGAAGCUUAGCAACAGUGGCUCCCUUCCCUUGGAUUCCACAAGGCCAAUGCAGGAAGUUACAGGCAGAAAGUAAAAGUGACCAGGAGACACAAACCUUAUCUGGUACUCUCUUUGAACACUGUAAGAAGCCCCAAUCCCUGCCUAAGGAAACCAUUAAGAAACUGGAGACAACUUUACAUCAUAAGUAUCUGGCCUUCCUGUCAGGCCUGCCUGCCCUUUACUGUGUAGCUCUCUCUAGGCCUGCAUCCCCAGCAGUCACUAGCCAACCUAGACUCAGAGAGAAGAUGCCCAAAGCUGUCAAAAGCCCAUCAAAUGCUCUGACUCAAAUAACCCCACUUGAGCCCUGCGCUCACGAUGACAGUGGGGUGUCUGCGGACACUGCAGAAGAGUUCCAGCCUGGAGCAGAGGCGGACAGAAGGACAGAGAAGGUGCCUGCAGAGAGUCAGCCUCCCCCAUGCAGACCCUACCCAAUAAACACACAUAUCUUGGCCAAACUGAAUUUCCACCUGAAAAAAAAGAUCCUAGCAAUGCAGUUUGGGAUUUCUGAAAAGGAAAAGAGAGAAUACAAGGAGCUGGGUACAGCCGACCUAGAGAGCGAAUCCAUCCAGGAAUUUCUCAGAAGUCUACACAUGUCAGAGAGCACACUGCUUCAGGAACAGCCUGUCGCAUGCCCAUCUCUGCCAGCCCCAAAUGCAAAAGGGGUCCACCCUAAAAAACAGCCAGCUUCUGCAGUACAGGAUGUGUGUCAGGCGCAAAGGCCUCCUCCUUCCAAAGCAGUGCCCCAUAGUUCUGCCCAGCAGAGCUCCAAGGCCUCGCAAUCCCAAAGGGAUAAGACCCAAGUCUGUGUUGACAUGGAAGCUGGAGGGAAAAGGUUCAACGUAGAGAAAUCCAAAGUCGUGGGGGACCUUGGAGAAGGGGACGCAGGUCUUGGGUUUUCCCUGGUCGGUCAAAAGACACGCCAGGAUGGAGAGCAGGAGAAGAGGCUCCUGCACAGACCACUCCAGGGCUCCUCACAACAGGGUCACACCUUUCAUCUUGAGGAUGCCUGUCCACACAGUCCCCGGGAGUCCCCUGAGCUCCAGUUCCCAGACCCACCUCCAGAAGUCUUCAUGGAGACAGACUCUGAGCAGGACAUGGAAGACAGUCAAAGCGAGGAAUCCAUUGUCCCAGAACCUGAAAUUCUUUUUUCACUCUAUUAACCCCAAGAUGAAGAGCAAA